rnacentral:lncRNA from 1 species
UAGAUAAGUGCAUCAAAUGCUGAAAGAUUCUUUCAUAAUCUCUGUUGAGAUGACACUGUUUAGCUGCUUUCUGGCACUGAGCCCCUACUCUUUUCUGAAUCAGUUUGUGCCGCACUAAUAUUUUGCUAAAUAUUGGUUGCCAGUAAAAUCUGUUUUUAGCCUUUUAAAAUUCCAGUUCAAGCCCUCCUCCAAAGUUUCUAUGAUGAGCCUCAAUGCUAGUCAGCUUGCUUGCCUUUUCUUUAACUCAAAACUGGUACCAAUCACAAUAAUAUGGAUGUAACUUUGCACCUAAUCUAACAUUAACAUUCUACUAUGGGAAGUGAACAAUGUGAAACAUUACCAAUAUGAUAAUCUAAAUGUAUAUGGUAACCCCUUCUUCAUUCAGAUAUCAUUGCUCUGCGCUAACAUUUCAUUGGAUGAUAUUUUGCUAAAAAAUGACACUCUGCUAACCAUCCACUGCCCUUUUCCUUUACUCAAAACUGGCACUAAUCGCAAUAAUAUGAAUGUAUCAUUGCAACAAGUCUGACAUUAAUGUUCCAUGUGAAAUGGACAAUGCGAUACUUUACCAAUAUGAUAUCUAAAUCUGUAUGGUGACCCCUUGCU